UACGUAGGUGACAAGCGUUGUCCGGAUUUACUGGGUGUAAAGGGCGCGUAGGCGGGAUAGCAAGUCAGUCGUGAAAUGCCGAGGCUUAACCUCGGAGCUGCGAUUGAAACUGUUAUUCUUGAGUAUCGGAGAGGAAAGCGGAAUUCCUAGUGUAGCGGUGAAAUGCGUAGAUAUUAGGAGGAACACCAGUGGCGACGGCGGCUUUCUGGACGACAACUGACGCUGAGGCGCGAAAGUGUGGGGAGCAAACAGG
rnacentral:rRNA from 1 species